rnacentral:rRNA from 1 species
ACAAUGGGGGAAACCCUGAUGCAGCGACGCCGCGUGGAGGAAGAAGGUCUUCGGAUUGUAAACUCCUGUUGUUGAGGAAGAUAAUGACGGUACUCAACAAGGAAGUGACGGCUAACUACGUGCCAGCAGCCGCGGUAAAACGUAGGUCACAAGCGUUGUCCGGAAUUACUGGGUGUAAAGGGAGCGCAGGCGGGAGAACAAGUUGGAAGUGAAAUCCAUGGGCUCAACCCAUGAACUGCUUUCAAAACUGUUUUUCUUGAGUAGUGCAGAGGUAGGCGGAAUUCCCGGUGUAGCGGUGGAAUGCGUAGAUAUCGGGAGGAACACCAGUGGCGAAGGCGACCUACUGGGCACCAACUGACGCUGAGGCUCGAAAGCAUGGGUAGCAAACAGGAUUAGAUACCCUGGUAGUCCAUGCCGUAAACGAUGAUUACUAGGUGUUGGAGGAUUGACCCCUUCAGUGCCGCAGUUAACACAAUAAGUAAUCCACCUGGGGAGUACGACCGCAAGGUUGAAACUCAAAGGAAUUGACGGGGGCCCGCACAAGCAGUGGAGUAUGUGGUUUAAUUCGACGCAACGCGAAGAACCUUACCAAGUCUUGACAUCCUGCGACGCACAUAGAAAUAUGUGUUUCCUUCGGGACGCAGAGACAGGUGGUGCAUGGUUGUCGUCAGCUCGUGUCGUGAGAUGUUGGGUUAAGUCCCGCAACGAGCGCAACCCUUAUUGCCAGUUACUACGCAAGAGGACUCUGGCGAGACUGCCGUUGACAAAACGGAGGAAGGUGGGGAUGACGUCAAAUCAUCAUGCCCUUUAUGACUUGGGCUACACACGUACUACAAUGGCGUUAAACAAAGAGAAGCAAGACCGCGAGGUGGAGCAAAACUCAGAAACAACGUCCCAGUUCGGACUGCAGGCUGCAACUCGCCUGCACGAAGUCGGAAUUGCUAGUAAUCGCAGAUCAGCAUGCUGCGGUGAAUACGUUCCCGGGCCUUGUACACACCGCCCGUCACACCAUGAGAGCCGGGGGGACCCGAAGUCGGUAGUCUAACCGCAAGGAGGACGCCGCCGAAGGUAAAACUGGUGAUUGGGGUGAAGUCGUAACAAGGUAGCCGUAGGAGAACCUGCGGCUG